rnacentral:lncRNA from 10 species
AGAAGGUGCUGAAGUUAUGGGGCUGGGGUUAUUAUUAUCAUUGACCAAAGCAAAGGACUUUCCAUUAAUUUCUCGUUAAUUUAUUGUUAAUUUCUCACACGAGCUCGGCAAGAGAGGCUUUACUAUUCCCAGAGAAUCCGAGAUUCAGAAAAAGCGAAGGAAACUGCAUAAGGCCUCAUAGCUAGGAAGCGGCACCGUUGGAAUGUGGACUCAGAAGUCUGGUCCCAAGCCGACAGAACAGAUCACUGCCCAGAACAGAAAAGUUAGAAGUGGAACCGGUGUGCAGUGAUGAUGAAAACACAUUUAAAAUAUUAGUUGCAACAGAUAUUCAUCUUGGAUUUAUGGAGAAAGAUGCAGUCAGAGGAAAUGAUACGUUUGUAACACUCGAUGAAAUUUUAAGACUUGCCCAGGAAAAUGAAGUGGAUUUUAUUUUGUUAGGUGGUGAUCUUUUUCAUGAAAAUAAGCCCUCAAGGAAAACAUUACAUACCUGCCUCGAGUUAUUAAGAAAAUAUUGUAUGGGUGAUCGGCCUGUCCAGUUUGAAAUUCUCAGUGAUCAGUCAGUCAACUUUGGUUUUAGUAAGUUUCCAUGGGUGAACUAUCAAGAUGGCAACCUCAACAUUUCAAUUCCAGUGUUUAGUAUUCAUGGC